rnacentral:rRNA from 1 species
AACGAACGCUGGCGGCAGGCUUAACACAUGCAAGUCGAGCGCCCCGCAAGGGGAGCGGCAGACGGGUGAGUAACGCGUGGGAAUCUACCCAUCUCUACGGAAUAACGCAUGGAAACGUGUGCUAAUACCGUAUACGUCCUUCGGGAGAAAGACUUAUCGGAGAUGGAUGAGCCCGCGUUGGAUUAGCUAGUUGGUGGGGUAAAGGCCUACCAAGGCGACGAUCCAUAGCUGGUCUGAGAGGAUGAUCAGCCACACUGGGACUGAGGCACGGCCCAGACUCCUACGGGAGGCAGCAGUGGGGAAUAUUGGACAAUGGGCGCAAGCCUGAUCCAGCCAUGCCGCGUGAGUGAUGAAGGCCCUAGGGUUGUAAAGCUCUUUCUCCGGUGAAGAUAAUGACGGUAACCGGAGAAGAAGCCCCGGCUAACUUCGUGCCAGCCGCCGCGGUAACAC